GAUGAAGAACGUAGCGAAAUGCGAUAAGUAAUGCGAAUUGCAGAAUUCCAGUGAGUCAUCGAAUCUUUGAACGCACAUUGCGCCCUUUGGUAUUCCGAAGGGCAUGCCUGUUCGAGCGUCAUUAUCACCCCUCAAGCCCUCGGCUUGGUGUUGGACGGUUUGGUGGAGGCCCCCUCGGGGGCUCCUGCCCCUCCCAAAGACAAUGACGGCGGCCUCGUUGGACCCCCGGUACACUGAGUUCUUCACGGGACACGUAUCGGACACAUGGGUUUACGGGACACGGUCUGCCUCCCCUCAGGGAGAAUCUUUCUAAGGUUGACCUCGGAUCAGGUAGGGAUACCCACUGAACUUAAGCAUAUCAAUAAGCGGAGGA
rnacentral:misc_RNA from 1 species